rnacentral:lncRNA from 1 species
GACUAGCAGAGAAAACAGCCUGCUUAUUUGGAAAGUAAUUUUCUUAAGACAGUUUUUAAUGAUUCACUAAUCAAAGCAAGGGACCCUGAGGAUCUUCUAUCUCCGUAAUCCACAAGUUCUAAGAAGAAGGUGUAAGGCAGAGUCUGUCCUAUGGGUUGCUUUCAUAAUUCUCAUUACACAAGUUAGGAUGUCUGCUAGAAAUAUACUGUGAGCCACGUCUGUCAUUUUAAAAUUUCUAGUAACCACAUUUUAAAAAGUAAAAAGAAACAGGUGAAAUUGAUUUUAAUAUAUUAUUUAGCACAAUAUAUGAAAAAUACUGUCACUUCAACAUGGGAUCAAUAUAAAAAAUUAUUAAUGAGAUAUUUUACUUUCUUUUUUUCAUAUUAUGUCUUUGAAAUCCAGUGCGUAUUAAGCACAUCUCAAUUCGGACUAGCCAUAUUUCAAGUUUUCAGUAGCCACACAUGGCUGUUGGCUACCAUACUGGACAGUGCAGGUUAUACUCAUUCCUUCAAAUAAAAUAUUCCGUUAAUCUCAUGGUAUGGCCAACUCCCAGUUAUUUAGGGGCUGAUUACCUAGUUUUGAAGUUCCUCAGGCCUCUGAUUUAUUGUUAUUUUUUUUGCGUUCUGCCUUGUGGCUGCUUUGUCUAUCUUUUGCCUAUCCCCCAAAGCCAGAAUAAGCUGGUGGAGGAGAGAAAACUAAGAUGCUAAGAUGUGUCUUUCAGGAACUUCACCAGUAACUCUGGUAAAGUAUCCUCUGGAAGGGGAAGAGAGUCAGUCAUUAGUUUAGAGGUGUUUGUGGGAUCAUCUACAGAUCUGAUGCCUAGUCUGUUGCAGACUUGGUAAGAAAACUUUCUCUUGGUGACACAACGCUCUUAGUCUUUCCACAUUAAGUAGAACCUUUGUGGUAGAACCGACUCUUAAGAGAGGCCCCAAAGACCAUUAUUAAUAGAAACAGCCUGGCCAAAACUUGGGAACAUAUUGUGUCUGGGUUUUUAUGCCUGUGGGGAGUGGGGGUGGGGGCGGGGGGACUAAAGAAUAGCAAGCCCUCAUUUCAGAUAAGAGAAACCUAUUCAUCUGAAAGUUUUUGAAACUCUUUCUGCCUCUCAGCAGAAGUAACAGGUAGAUCAGGAAGGGGCUUCCUCAGAACAAAUGCCAUCUCCUGCAUCAGUGAGACCUUGGGAAUGACCAGCAUGCUAAUGGGCAUCAGUGAAUCCACACUCUUUAUUUCCUUCCUGCCUCAUAAAGGGCCCCUGCUUUCCCCAUACCAGGUCCUCCUGAAGUUGUGCUGCCUCAGGCUGUUUAGGGACCAUUGCCUGUCUGUUGGUCAUAGGAGUAUCUCCUUAACUUUAGUCCCUGGGCAAUGCUUGCUUAACGCUUUUGUUGAAUCAACAAAGGGCCCGAGGCCUUAGGCUUUUUUGUUAAGGUCUGUGCCCCAGGCAUGGUGCUCAAUAUCUUGGCCAAAUAAAUUACUUUCCUUGAAUAUCCAGGAAUCUUUAGACUGAAGCAAUGAGGAGUUAUCGCCUCACCCUCAAACUCCAACAUGAUCUAUGCCUUAGAGUUGUUUUUGUUGUCUGCUUUCGUGUAAAAACAAGAGUAUUUGGAGCAAGCUGCAGUACUCCAAAUACACAAUAGGCCUUUUCUUUAUCAUUCAUUCAACAUUUCUGGUUUAGGUCUAUGUAGAUGGGCCAUGUUAUUUGUCCAGAGGAAGAGAGUGUAAAGAUAUAAGAAUAAUUUUUUAGUCCUAAAUGCUGUUUUGUUUAUUUUUUGUCAAGAUAUUUACCAGUGUCAGAUUCAAACUAUAGUACUGUGUAAUUAUGUAUAAAGUUUUUUUUUAUUUAUUUGAAAUUAGACUAGAUAUACAUUUUUAAAUUUAACAUCUGGCUGGACAGUGUUCUAUUAACUCAUUGAAUGUGUUUCCUUUGUCUUGUGUUAAUAAAUAUUGAUGCCUGAU